AGGGUGGCCAGCCACACUGGGAUUGAGAUACUGCCCAGGCUCCUAAGGGAGGCAGCAGUCGAGAGGCAUCUGCAAUGGGCGAAAGCCCGACAGUGCGACGCCGCGUGGACGAUGAAGGCCCUCGGGUCGUAAAGUCCUGUCACAGGGGGGAGAACAACACCCAUCCUAAUAAGAUGGGUGUCUGACGUUGCUCCUGUAGAAAGACCCGGCUAACUCCGUGCCAGCAGCCGCGGUAAUACGGAGGGGUCGAGCGUUAUUCGGAUUCACUGGGCGUAAAGGGCGCGUAGGCGGGGUUGUGGGUCGAUCGUGAAAUCCACCGGCUCAACCGGUGAACUGCGGUCGAAACUACAACUCUUGAGCUCGGUAGAGGAAGGCGGAAUUCCUGGUGUAGCGGUGGAAUGCGUAGAUAUCAGGAAGAACACCGGUAGCGAAGGCGGCCUUCUGGGCCGGAGCUGACGCUGAGGCGCGAAAGCCGGGGGAGCGAACAGGAUUAGAUACCCUGGUAGUCCCGGCCGUAAACGAUGGGUACUAGGUGUAGGGGGUACUGACCCCCCCUGUGCCGCAGUUAACGCAUUAAGUACCCCGCCUGGGGAGUACGCGCGCAAGCGUGAAACUCAAAGGAAUUGACGGGGCCCCGCACAAGCGGUGGAGCAUGUGGAUCAAUUCGACGCAACGCGAAGAACCUUACCGGGGUUUGACAUGUACCGGACCGGCAUGGAAACAUGCCUUCCCUUCGGGGCUGGUACACAGGUGCUGCAUGGCUGUCGUCAGCUCGUGUCGUGAGAUGUUGGGUUAAGUCCCGCAACGAGCGCAACCCUCGUCGCCUGUUGCCAUCAGGUUAAGCUGGGCACUCUGGCGAGACUGCCCGCGAUAUGCGGGAGGAAGGCGGGGAUGACGUCAAGUCCUCAUGGUCCUUACAUCCCGGGCUUCACACGUGCUACAAUGGCCGGUACAAAGGGUUGCAAUACCGCGAGGUGGAGCCAAUCCCAAAAAGCCGGUCUCAGUUCGGAUUGGAGUCUGCAACUCGACUCCAUGAAGUCGGAAUCGCUAGUAAUCGUGGAUCAGCAUGCCACGGUGAAUACGUUCCCGGGGCUUGUACACACCGCCCGUCAAGCCACGAAAGCUGGUAGUACCCGAAGUCGCUGAGCCAACCCGCAAGGGAAGCAGGCGCCGAAGGUAAGACCAGCGAUUGGGGCUAAGUCGCAACAAGGUA
rnacentral:rRNA from 1 species